rnacentral:rRNA from 1 species
GUAGAACGCUGAAGGAGGAGCUUGCUUCUCCGGAUGAGUUGCGAACGGGUGAGUAACGCGUAGGUAACCUGCCUGGUAGCGGGGGAUAACUAUUGGAAACGAUAGCUAAUACCGCAUAACAGUAGAUAUUGCAUGAUAUCUGCUUGAAAGGUGCAAUUGCAUCACUACCAGAUGGACCUGCGUUGUAUUAGCUAGUUGGUGGGGUAACGGCUCACCAAGGCAACGAUACAUAGCCGACCUGAGAGGGUGAUCGGCCACACUGGGACUGAGACACGGCCCAGACUCCCACGGGAGGCAGCAGUAGGGAAUCUUCGGCAACGGACGGAAGUCUGACCGAGCAACGCCGCGUGAGUGAAGAAGGUUUUCGGAUCGUAAAGCUCUGUUGUAAGAGAAGAACGAGUGUGAGAGUGGAAAGUUCACACUGUGACGGUAUCUUACCAGAAAGGGACGGCCAACUACGUGCCAGCAGCCGCGGUAAUACGUAGGUCCCGAGCGUUGUCCGGAUUUAUUGGGCGUAAAGCGAGCGCAGGCGGUUAGAUAAGUCUGAAGUUAAAGGCUGUGGCUUAACCAUAGUACGCUUUGGAAACUGUUUAACUUGAGUGCAAGAGGGGAGAGUGGAAUUCCAUGCGUAGCGGUGAAAUGCGUAGAUAUAUGGAGGAACACCGGUGGCGAAAGCGGCUCUCUGGCUUG